UAAAAGUACAAUAUUUGUUAUAAAACACAUUGCAAUAUGUAUUUGUUUUAAAUUUCAGAGAGACGUUUCUAAGGUUUAAACACCAAACAGAAUUGGGUUAGCAUGACAGCACCAGGAAAAGAACUCAAGCAACCUAGUUUCACUGCACAAAGAGUCAAAUGUACUCAUGGCAUACAGGGCGAAGUUAAAUCUUUUCACCAAUGGUUUCCCCCUCGAGAUUACAAACAAACAAUGAUCCUCAGCAGCUGAUACAGCAACCACCAGCAAGAGGGGCAGAAAUGCCCAUGUUAACCACAUGCUCUGCUGAAAACGGGCUCCAGGACAAUGUCCUGGAAGGAUUUUCCCAGCAUCCUUCUCCAGCCACCAGCAGGGAAUGGAAAGGAGAUCUGGGUUCAACUCUUGUUACUUUCAACAUGAAAAAUGAGUUGUGGUCUCACCUUAAUCCCCAGUGGAAAAAUUCCACAUCACAAAACCAUCAUACAAUUUGACAAGCUUGUCCAUUUCAGCUCAGGAAAGGUCCAGGACUGCAAUGACAGGGGUACUCUCCACAUGAGAAUUGAGGUCUGGCGACAAGCUUUCCCCACAGCACUGUCCCACAUUCUAGCAUUCUUGACCCAUUACUAUCAGCAUCUCAGCACCGAGACAAUGUGUUCGACCACAACCUUCGGAGAACAAUAAUCAAUAUGGGCAGAACAAAGAGGACAAGAAGCAACAGCACAGAGGCAAAGCAAAUUUCCAUUCAAGGGAUGCAACUUAAAUGCAGUAAGAUUAUAGCCAAAUAAGGAAUUCUAUACAGUUCUCUUUGGAAAGAGGAUUGGGGGGAGAGAGGGGAGAACAGAUCAGGGAAAAUGAGCACGAGACCCCAAGAGCUGCACCAGUGAUAGAAGACAGCACCCACCACCGAAAACACUGCAAUACCAUUAAGGAGACCACAAUGAGCAGGAGAAGCGCCACUUUUAGUUUAACAAAAGAAUUAGCUAGACUAAUGGAAGCAGAUCAAUCACUGCUCCAAGCCCGCGGAUUACUGGAAAUCCAAGCGGUACAGGUAGUGAAAGGAAAGACCUUUAAGACAGCCCAGAAGCCAGUAAACGUAGUUGGGAUGAAAUCAAAGCUGCCUUAUUGCAUUGCUCUUUCUGAGCUGUUCAAGUUUGUUAGACUGUUUCCCCAGGGAACAAGUGGCAUUCUCUUUUGUGCUCUAGUGGUCAUUGUGCAGAAUUUUAGACAAGAACUCCAAGUGCACGCGGUAGCUGUUCUCCAUUAUAAAUUGCUUUGGGCUACGGAUUAGCAAUUCCCUUUAGAUACUCUGCAUAAAGAGUCCCUUUGGAAUGAGGGAGGGAAAGCAAUAUUUAGUGGGUUCUCUUUAGUUUGUUUUUCAGUAUUUUGUUUAACCUUUAACCACCAUCAUAAAACCAGCCCAGAAUCGACAGCUAAUAUACUGUUAGAUCCUUAGCCAUAUGCCCCACGAAUAAAGUAUCAUCUGGUAGUGACCAAAGAGACCUUCCAGGUAUCAAUCAGAUCUUUUAUGGAGGGAUAUGGUCUCUGUAGUUACAGCUGCCAGUGGUUUUGUUACAUUUGACUAACUUUCCUAACACUGGACAGUAUUUUAUUCACUAGCUAUUCCCAUGACAUUUCUCCUCAACAUACACUCCUUUUAGACUAGCUGGCUGACAGCUACAAACUGAGCUAGAGAAAUUCCUUAAAACGGCUCUUUGAUGAGAAAGCUGCAUCAGUGUGCUCAGUCAGUAAGAAUCUGUCUUUGAACAAGAAUCAUAUUCAUGAACAUAAGAAAACUGUAUUUGCUAUAUAUAACAUAUACACGUCGUCAUUUGAUGAUAACUGAGCCAUCACCAUUGCCCUGCACACAAGCUGUGUUCCCAACACCACACAAGAUAGGUAGGUGUGACUUGGGAAAAGACACCAGCCAAGAGUGGAGUGGAGAUCUCCAAUUGCAAAAAUGGGAGAUCACCUGCUUUUAGUGUAAAUUUUCUUAGCCAAAUGAUGAUGAUCUUAGCAUACAAAGUUAUUUGGAAGGAGAAUUGUCUGACACAUAACAAAACCAGCCCUUUGCCAGGUUUGUGUUGGGAGGGAGUGUGUAGUAGUGGUUAGAGGUACUCUAGUCACAGACUGUCUUGCUAUGUCAUCUCUGUGCCUAUUUUCAUGCCCAAUCCCCCUCCCGCUCGUUUGUAAAAGUUAGGAUCAUAUUUAAACCUCAGAACAGGUCAGUGAGGCAAGUAACUUGUUUGUGUUUGUAAAGCACAACAUCAUCAACACCACCCCCCACUUAGGGCUGUCAGAGUCUUUAAAUUGGGUGGUAGAACAAAGGACAAUUUUGCUACUCCAUAAAAAGACAGUUGCUUUCAAAGGCUGUUGGUUACACUAGCUAGCACCAGGGUGGGAAGAAGGAAGGAGAUGCCAACGGAAGGGACAACAGAAUUGAGCCAGAAGUUUUAAGUAAAGAAAAGAAUUAUGCAUAUAAAUUUUAAGGUAGUGCAACAAGAUUUCUCUCUUUCCUGUCUUUAAAGUUAGGCUUCCAAAACUUCUACAGCUACUCUGCAGGGAGUUCCACCAUGUCCCAGUUGCUCAUCCAUCCUGACAGAGGCAGAAACACAGCUGGUGACCAAACAUGCAUUUUAGAAAGCUCUUUGGGAGUGCAGACAUUACAAAAAGCCAACAGCAGCAGCCAGGCCCUUCCCUCCCCCUAAAAUUACUCUGCAGCCCCCAAAUCCAGGGAGCAAAACAGCAAAAUCCUAAGGACACAAGCCACUCAACCAGCAUUAAGCACUCUCCAAAGGGAGGUCACUCUGAAGGUCUUCUGUUGCCUCCACCACUUUUCAACACAGAUUUUUAAGGCGCGUCCCGGUCUCCAGAAUGCUCCUACCACUGAGCACAACUACGAGUCAUCGUUUGGCCUAAGGGUUAAAGCGCGUUUGGUAACGUGCAGAUUUGCACUGACCUUCCCCCUGACGCUGCCUCUCCUUCCCUCCUCCUCACUCCCGUGGAAACUCGCCCCCAGCCAAGGCACUCCUGCUGGAGCCAGCUGCAGACUGUGCUUUCCUCGCUGCAGCUGGACUCUGCCCUGGAUUUACCCGCAGCCUUGGGACUCUCGCAGCUCUGUCCUUAGCUCACUCUGGUAGAUGGUGGCUUUGAUUCCUCCCAUCACUGGCCCUGUUCUCCCCUUUCCUCCCUCUCCCCCACAACAGGCCUCUCCAUUUUCCCCCACUGGCCUGUUCUUCCCCUCUCCUCCCCCCCCC